GUGCUCGCUUCGGUAGCACAUAUACUAAAAUUGGAACGAUACAGAGAAGCUUAGCAUGGCCCCUGCACAAGGAUGACACGCAAAUUCGUGAAGAGUUCCAUAUUUUA
rnacentral:snRNA from 1 species